rnacentral:rRNA from 1 species
UACAGAGGGGGCAAGCGUUGUUCGGAAUUACUGGGCGUAAAGGGCGCGUAGGCGCCUUCUAAGUCGAACGUGAAAUCCCCGGGCUCAACCCGGGAACUGCGUCCGAUACUGGAAGGCUUGAAUCCGGGAGAGGGAUGUGGAAUUCCAGGUGUAGCGGUGAAAUGCGCAGAUAUCGGGAAGAACACCUAUGGCGAAGGCAGCUCUCUGGGACGGUACUGACGCUGAGACGCGAAAGCGUGGGGAGCGAACAGG